rnacentral:rRNA from 1 species
AACGUAGGAGACAAACGUUAUCCGGAGUUACUGGGCGUAAAGGGCGUGUAGGUGGUGCUGUAAGUUCGGCGUGAAAUUUUUCGGCUUAACCGGGAAAGGUCGUCGGAUACUGCAGGACUAGAGGACGGUAGAGGCGUGUGGAAUUCCGGGUGUAGUGGUGAAAUGCGUAGAGAUCCGGAGGAACACCAGUGGCGAAGGCGACACGCUGGGCCGUACCUGACACUGAGGCGCGAUAGCAUGGGGAGCAAACAGG